rnacentral:rRNA from 1 species
CACCAGAUAAGACAGCUGAAUGAUAGUCGGGCUGAAGACUCUACUUGACUAGCUGAGAGGAGGUGCAUGGCCGUCGUCAGUUCGUACUGUGAAGCAUCCUGUUAAGUCAGGCAACGAGCGAGACCCACGCCAACAGUUGCCAGCUCGUCCUCCGGGAUGGUGGGGGACACUGUUGGGACCGCCUCUGCUAAAGAGGAGGAAGGAAUGGGCAACGGUAGGUCAGCAUGCCCCGAAUUAUCCGGGCUACACGCGGGCUACAAUGGUCAGGACAAUGGGUAUCGACACCGAGAGGUGGAGGCAAUCUCCUAAACCUGUCCUUAGUUCGGAUUGUGGGCUGCAACUCGCCCACAUGAAGCUGGAAUCCGUAGUAAUCGCGUUUCAAAAUAGCGCGGUGAAUAUGUCCCUGCUCCUU